ensembl:lncRNA
AUGAUCACAGACACGGAUCUGGACUGCCGGAUUCCAGUAGAUCAUAUCAGGUCUAGCGCAAGCAAAACACCUCAAUCGCUUAAUCGGAGACAUUCUUGUCUUCCCCUGCACCAGAGACAACACAGUGCCGGACUGAUGACAGCUCACUCAGGGCAGGUCUAAGGUAAGACGGCCUUGUCAAUCAACUAUCAUGGGAGGGGCCUGUGCAGAACUACGUCAUUCUGCCAGGAAUCUCAGAACAGCCUGAUUUGAUAAAGGAGAUUUUAAAAUAGGGAUUUAAAAAAAAAACACUGGGUGGAUUUUUAUCAUUGUAGGAUGGAUGUUUACACACACUUCCAACACAGAUUUAUGUUCAAACAACAACAAAAGUGAAUUUUGCAUCCGAUGACCCCUUUAAGACUCGUCCCUGAGCAACUGUGUGAACGAUAAUACACUUAAAAUUGAACAUUCUUUGACUUCUCUUUAAUCUAGUUGCUUCAUAAUAAUGUACUCCCUCUCUUGUUUCAUUGUCCUGGGUCAGGGUUUCAGCUUUUCCUGUUUUUAUGAGACAAAAAAAAACAUGAAACAAUAAAUCAUAUCUACAGUGCAAGAGAGUUCACCCAAAAAUGAAAAUUCUGUCAUUAUUUACAAUAUUUACCAAUUUUGUUCUAAACCUGCAUGCUGUUUUUUGUUGUUGUUGUUGUUGUUGUUGUUUGUUCCUAUGGAAUGCAAAAAGAGAACAGGAGUACUUUUGAAGAAGUUUUAGAUGGCUCAUCCAAAAAUGAAAAUUUGCAGAAAAUAUAUUCAGCCUCAGGUGAGUAAGAUAAGAUGGAGAUGAGUUUGUUUAUUUGUCAGAACACGUUUGGAGAAAUUUAGCAUUAAAUCACAUGCUCACCAAUGGAUCCUCUGCAGUGAAUGGGUGCCGUCAGAAUGAGAGUCCAAACAGCUGACAAAAACAUCACAGUAAUCCACAAGAAAUCCACAUGACUCCAGUCCAUCAAUUAACAUCUUGUGAAUUGAAAAGUUAUGUGUUUGUAAUAAAUUCAUCAAGACGUUUUUAACUUCAAAUCAUUGCUUUCAGACUAAAAUAUGAGCCCUCUGUCCAUAAUAUUGCUUUCUCAGCUGUUUAGACUCUCAUUCUGAUGGCAACCAUUCACUGCAGAGUAUCCACUGGUGUGCAAGUGUUGCACUACUAAAUUUCUCCAAAUCUGUUCAAAUGAAGAAAGAAACUCAUCUCCAUCUUGUAUUAGGGUGAGUACAUUUUCAGAAAAUUUCCAUUUUUGGGGGAAUUAAUACUUUAAGUUUAAAAAAUGACAAACAAAUAGUCUGUGAUUCAUGCACUAUAUUGUAUAUAUUGUAAGUGUAAAGUACUCUGAUCAGCCAGAAAACAACUUUUUAUUAGGAACAGAUUGAUGUUCUAUUCUACAAAUUUAUUCUACCCUUUAAACCUUUGGUCCAUUCAGUGUUGGAAUGUACAGCAGGUUCAUAUGCUCUGUUAAACAGUCCAUUCUUCUAUAAUCUGCUUAGUUUUUUUCUGGGUUCAGCUGUAUUGUUUAAUACUUUACACCUCUGGAUGGCAGGUGCAUGGGGCUUUCUCUAAAGAAGAUAUAUUUGUCCUGUGCCCUCUGUGCUUUAUCUCUGGUGAGCAGGGAUUCUCUUAUAGCUGUGACACCUGUCUGCACUGAAUGAUAGAUAUGUUACUGGUGCACAGGGGAAGUUUACGGAGCAAAUGAUUUUGCUGAAAUAUGCAAUAUGCGAGCCGCUGACUCUCCUGCACAGAGACUCAAUGCAAAACCUUUAAUAUGUGUGUGUGUGCAUGCAGAACUGCAACUUUGGAUGUGCAAAACAACAUAUUUUCUACAGUAUAUCAACUAGUAGGUUAAAGGAUAAUUAUGCUGUUAGUUGGUUGUUUUACCACUUUUCAACUAGCUGACCACCAUAACCCAUCCCUGUGUGUUCUAAAAAGAAGUUCAGAUAGCAGCAAAUGAUUUUCCUUGAUUAUUGUUAAUAUAAUAAGUGGAGUCAAAACCCAUGUGGCCUCCUUUAAAUAUCAUAUUUUUGCCUAAUCAACAUAAUUGCUCCAUCUCAGAGGAAAUGAUAAUUAUGUGCCUCUUCCUUUCUUUUCUUGUCAAAGACAGGCUGAUCUUAUGACCAUGCACUCUAGUUGUGU